UACGAGGGUGCAAGCGUUGUUCGGAAUUACUGGGCGUAAAGCGUGCGUAGGUGGUUUGUUAAGUCUGAUGUGAAAGCCCUGGGCUCAACCUGGGAAUUGCAUUGGAUACUGGCAGGCUAGAGUGCGGUAGAGGAUGGCGGAAUUCCCGGUGUAGCAGUGAAAUGCGUAGAGAUCGGGAGGAACAUCUGUGGCGAAGGCGGCCAUCUGGACCAGCACUGACACUGAGGCACGAAGGUCAGGGGAGCAAACGGG
rnacentral:rRNA from 1 species